rnacentral:misc_RNA from 1 species
GAGGGAUUAUGUUAAAAUCUACUAUUUGAACUGUGAUCUGAGUCUUAAAUUUGUUGGGGAGCAAUGGAGCAGCCACUGUUGAUAGGGAAAGUAGCUAGUGAAACAGGUCAAAGAGGGAGUGAGAAAUGGGGUUCUUAUGAGUAUGUGGGAAGGGCUGGCUCUGUGAUUCCCACGACUUCCUUAGCUGGAUCAGAAGUCAGCGUUGAUGAGAUUCGGUCUGCUGCUUCUAUGUCAGUUCCUUACUCUCCUUCUCUCCAUGCCCCCUUGAUCAGCUCUCCUCAAUCCCAAUCCCAGCCACAGUUUUAUGAACAAGGGAUUGUUUAUCAGGGUGGGUACUACGGAGAUGCAAGUGGGACUACUGGUGAUCAACGGAGGCAAGUGCUAGACGAGGUAGAAGUACGAGAGUUGCUUAUAGAUCAUGUUGGCCAUCGCUGCUGUUGGGGAAGUCGUCCAGCUCGGACCUGGAAGAUUCAUGCAAUUGAAGACUGCAAUGUCUAUGUGGGAACUCUGGAAACUUUCACGGAAGAGAGAGAUACAGUUGUAGAGAAGGAGCUGUACUCCGGUGGCAGCAUCGAAGGAAAGGACAAGGGACCUGAAACAGGAAUAUGGGAGCUAGAUUUAAGGUCUGAGUUUCCUGUUUUAUUUGUACCUUACAAGGAAUCAAGGCUGAGAAUUCCUCAUUCAGAAACUAUUGAGAAAUGUUCAGGUUGUGAUGGUCGAGGCAAUACAGUUUGUCCUACUUGCAAUACAGAUCAAGAUCCAGGGUUCUACAAGGAGGGUCAAAUGACUCAGUGUACGACUUGCUAUGGAAGGGGUCUAAUUGCUCAUAAGGAUGGAUCUGAUACAAUAUGCCUGAAUUGUAAAGGUAAUGGAAAACUUCCUUGUGUGACUUGUGAAUCUCGUGGCCUCAUCAAAUGCCAAACAUGCCAAGGUGGUGGUUCUCUUUUGACACAGAAAGUAGCUGUUGUUAGAUGGAGGACGCAUUCAACCAGGAAAGUUAAUGCUACAAGCGGAGCAGCUUCUGUUCCAGACGACGUGUUUCACAGAGCAAAGGGAGUUCAGUUGUGCAAUAACCAAGCUUACCAGUGCACGCCAGCCUACUUUGCUGAUUCGUAUUUCCUGAACAAGUUCUCUUCUGAAGUAAUUGCAGAGAGGCCUUCUGUACCUACUACUGCAAGGAUCAUAUGCGAGCGCCACAUCAUCUCAGUUGUCCCAGUGACUCGCGUGACUAUGACUGAUCGUAACCGCUCCUUCAGCUUCUAUAUUAUUGGAAAUGACAGAGAGGUUUAUAUGAAAGACUACUAUCCUUCUAGGUUUUGUUGGGGCCUUUGCCCUUGCCUGGAAUGGUUGAAGUUAUAAUUCAAGAACUGGAUUUGUUGUUGUCAUCAUUGGUUUGAGUUUGUCCCAAGUGUUCAAGGGGACAAAAUGUUGGUUUUUGUGUAGAAUAAUAUGCUUUAUGAUUUGCACUGUUCCCAAAUAAAAAGAAAAAAAAAGUUGUCUUCCUAUCAAUAAUUGUCAUGAUAGGAAAUCCUAGUAGCUCACUUCGUUGGUUGUCUAUCAGCUUUUACACCGUUGGUGAUCAUUGGCUGGUUGGAUACCUUUCAUCACGUUGGUUAUUAUUAAUUGAUCGGUUACCUGAACUUCAAUCUCAUUUUUGAGUUGAAUUUUUAUCUCAUUAGUUAUGAUUCGAUUCUCCACCUUUGUAAUCCUCUUUCCAAUUACCCUUUGUAGCUACCCUGUUUUAUUUUAUUUUUAAAAAGUUAAUAUAAUGUCAUAAUUGUUUU